rnacentral:rRNA from 3 species
GGUCAAGCGAACAAGUGCAUGUGGUGGAUGCCUUGGCGAUCACAGGCGAUGAAGGACGCGGUAGCCUGCGAAAAGCUACGGGGAGCUGGCAAACGAGCUUUGAUCCGUAGAUGUCCGAAUGGGGAAACCCGGCCCUUUUGGGUCAUCCUAGACUGAAUACAUAGGUCUAGUGAAGCGAACGCGGUGAACUGAAACAUCUAAGUAACCGCAGGAAAAGAAAUCAACCGAGAUUCCCAAAGUAGUGGCGAGCGAAAUGGGAUGAGCCUUGCACUCUUUAUUUGUAUUGUUAGCCGAACGCUCUGGAAAGUGCGGCCAUAGCAGGUGAUAGCCCUGUAGGCGAAAACAGUAUGAAAGAACUAGGUGUGCGACAAGUAGGGCGGGACACGUGAAAUCCUGUCUGAAGAUGGGGGGACCAUCCUCCAAGGCUAAAUACUCGUGAUCGACCGAUAGUGAACCAGUACCGUGAGGGAAAGGCGAAAAGAACCCCGGGAGGGGAGUGAAAUAGAUCCUGAAACCGCAUGCAUACAAACAGUCGGAGCCUCGCAAGGGGUGACGGCGUACCUUUUGUAUAAUGGGUCAGCGACUUACGUUCAGUAGCAAGCUUAACCGUAUAGGGCAGGCGUAGCGAAAGCGAGUCCGAAUAGGGCGUUCAGUUGCUGGGCGUAGACCCGAAACCAGGUGAUCUAUCCAUGGCCAGGAUGAAGGUGCGGUAACACGUACUGGAGGUCCGAACCCACUAACGUUGAAAAGUUAGGGGAUGAGCUGUGGAUAGGGGUGAAAGGCUAAACAAACCUGGAAAUAGCUGGUUCUCUCCGAAAACUAUUUAGGUAGUGCCUCGUGUCUCACCUUCGGGGGUAGAGCACUGUCAUGGUUGGGGGGUCUAUUGCAGAUUACCCCGCCAUAGCAAACUCCGAAUACCGAAGAGUGCAAUCACGGGAGACAGACAUCGGGUGCUAACGUCCGGUGUCAAGAGGGAAACAACCCAGACCGCCAGCUAAGGUCCCCAAAUAUAGCUAAGUGGGAAACGAAGUGGGAAGGCUAAAACAGUCAGGAGGUUGGCUUAGAAGCAGCCACCCUUUAAAGAAAGCGUAAUAGCUCACUGAUCGAGUCGUCCUGCGCGGAAGAUGUAACGGGGCUAAGCUAUAUACCGAAGCUGCGGAUGCGAGCUUGCUCGCAUGGUAGGAGAGCGUUCCGUAAGCCUGCGAAGGUGCCUUGUAAAGGGUGCUGGAGGUAUCGGAAGUGCGAAUGCUGACAUGAGUAGCGAUAAAGGGGGUGAAAGGCCCCCUCGCCGUAAGCCCAAGGUUUCCUACGCAACGUUCAUCGGCGUAGGGUGAGUCGGCCCCUAAGGCGAGGCAGAAAUGCGUAGCUGAUGGGAAGCAGGUCAAUAUUCCUGCACCAUUGUUAGAUGCGAUGGGGGGACGGAUCGCGGAAGGUUGUCCGGGUGUUGGAAGUCCCGGUCGCUGCAUUGGAGAAGGCGCUUAGGCAAAUCCGGGCGCAGGAUUCAAGGGUGUGGCGCGAGCUCCUUAGGGAGCGAAGCAAUUGGAAGUGGUUCCAAGAAAAGCCUCUAAGCUUCAGUCUAACGAUGACCGUACCGCAAACCGACACAGGUGGGCGAGAUGAGUAUUCUAAGGCGCUUGAGAGAACUCGGGAGAAGGAACUCGGCAAAUUGGUACCGUAACUUCGGGAUAAGGUACGCCCUUGUAGCUUGACUGGCCUGCGCCAGGAGGGUGAAGGGGUUGCAAUAAACUGGUGGCUGCGACUGUUUAAUAAAAACACAGCACUCUGCAAACACGAAAGUGGACGUAUAGGGUGUGACGCCUGCCCGGUGCCGGAAGAUUAAAUGAUGGGGUGCAAGCUCUUGAUUGAAGUCCCGGUAAACGGCGGCCGUAACUAUAACGGUCCUAAGGUAGCGAAAUUCCUUGUCGGGUAAGUUCCGACCUGCACGAAUGGCGUAACGAUGGCCACACUGUCUCCUCCCGAGACUCAGCGAAGUUGAAGUGUUUGUGAUGAUGCAAUCUACCCGCGGCUAGACGGAAAGACCCCAUGAACCUUUACUGUAGCUUUGCAUUGGACUUUGAACCGAUCUGUGUAGGAUAGGUGGGAGGCUAUGAAACCGGAACGCUAGUUUCGGUGGAGCCGUCCUUGAAAUACCACCCUGGUUUGUUUGAGGUUCUAACCUUGGCCCGUGAUCCGGGUCGGGGACAGUGCAUGGUAGGCAGUUUGACUGGGGCGGUCUCCUCCCAAAGCGUAACGGAGGAGUACGAAGGUACGCUAGGUACGGUCGGAAAUCGUGCUGAUAGUGCAAUGGCAUAAGCGUGCUUAACUGCGAGACCGACAAGUCGAGCAGGUGCGAAAGCAGGUCAUAGUGAUCCGGUGGUUCUGUAUGGAAGGGCCAUCGCUCAACGGAUAAAAGGUACUCUGGGGAUAACAGGCUGAUACCGCCCAAGAGUUCAUAUCGACGGCGGUGUUUGGCACCUCGAUGUCGGCUCAUCUCAUCCUGGGGCUGUAGCCGGUCCCAAGGGUAUGGCUGUUCGCCAUUUAAAGAGGUACGUGAGCUGGGUUUAAAACGUCGUGAGACAGUUUGGUCCCUAUCUGCCGUGGGCGUUGGAUAUUUGAAGGGGGCUGCUCCUAGUACGAGAGGACCGGAGUGGACGAACCUCUGGUGUACCGGUUGUCACGCCAGUGGCAUCGCCGGGUAGCUAUGUUCGGAAGAGAUAACCGCUGAAAGCAUCUAAGCGGGAAACUCGCCUUAAGAUGAGAUAUCCCUGGGGACUAGAUCCCCUUGAAGGGUCGUUCGAGACCAGGACGUUGAUAGGUCAGGUGUGUAAGCGCAGUAAUGCGUUCAGCUAACUGAUACUAAUUGCCCGUAAGGCUUGAUCCU